UUGCAGCCAGUUAGGCCGACUGUGCUCUUUUCCCCGUGGGGGCCCAGUGUGCAGUGGCUGCAAACAGCAGCCUCCUCGGUAGUGUAUGCAGCCUGUUGCCUGUACAGGUUGCCCUAAGGGACCUGGGAUACAGCU
ensembl:snoRNA SNORA70 Small nucleolar RNA SNORA70